UACGUAGGGGGCAAGCGUUGUCCGGAAUUAUUGGGCGUAAAGGGCGUGCAGGCGGUUUCUUAAGUCUGAUGUGAAAUCUUGUAGCUUAACUACAAGCGGUCAUUGGAAACUGGGAGACUUGAGUGCAGAAGAGGAGAGUGGAAUUCCACGUGUAGCGGUGAAAUGCGUAGAUAUGUGGAGGAACACCAGUGGCGAAGGCGACUCUCUGGUCUGUAACUGACGCUGAGGCGCGAAAGCGUGGGGAGCGAACAGG
rnacentral:rRNA from 1 species